GACGAACGCUGGCGGCGUGCUUAACACAUGCAAGUCGAACGGUGAAGCGCCUUCCUUUUUGGUGGGUGUGGAUGAGUGGCGCACGGGUGAGUAACACGUGAGUAACCUGCCCCCUUCUUCUGGAUAACCGCAUGAAAGUGUGGCUAAUACGGGAUAUUCUGGGUCUGUCGCAUGAUGGGUCUGGGAAAGAUAUUGUUUCGGUGGGGGAUGGGCUCGCGGCCUAUCAGCUUGUUGGUGGGGUGAUGGCCUACCAAGGCGGUGACGGGUAGCCGGCCUGAGAGGGUGGACGGUCACACUGGGACUGAGACACGGCCCAGACUCCUACGGGAGGCAGCAGGGGGGAAUAGGGCACAAUGGGCGCAAGCCUGAUGCAGCGACGCCGCGUGAGGGAUGGAGGCCGUCGGGUUGUGAACCUCUUUCGCCAGUGAAGCAGGCCUGCCUCGUUUGUGGGUGGGUUGACGGUAGCUGGAUAAGAAGCGCCGGCUAACUACGUG
rnacentral:rRNA from 1 species